GUGUCAGCAGCCGCGGUAAUACGGAGGGAGCAAGCGUUGUUCGGAAUCAUUGGGCGUAAAGCGCGCGCAGGCGGUUGGGUAAGUCAGACGUGAAAGCCCAUGGCUCAACCAUGGAACUGCGUUUGAUACUGCCUGACUAGAGUUCAGGAGAGGUGGGCGGAAUUCCCAGUGUAGAGGUGAAAUUCGUAGAUACUGGGAGGAACAUCUGUGGCGAAGGCGGCUCACUGGACUGAUACUGACGCUGAGGCGCGAAAGCGUGGGGAGCAAACGGGAUUAGAUACCCCAGUAGUCC
rnacentral:rRNA from 1 species